rnacentral:tRNA from 1 species
GGAGAGGUGUCCGAGUGGUUUAUGGUGACUGUCUUGAAAACAGUUAGGCGAUGAGCCUCGGGGGUUCGAAUCCCUCCCUCUCCG